rnacentral:misc_RNA from 1 species
AACGCACGAGACCUGCGGACCUGCGGAAGGAUCAUUACCGAGUUAUCCAACUCCCAACCCCUGUGAAUUAUACCUUUAAUUGUUGCUUCGGCGGGACUUCGCGCCCGCCGGGGACCCAAACCUUCUGAAUUUUUUAAUAAGUAUCUUCUGAGUGGUUAAAAAAAUGAAUCAAAACUUUCAACAAUGGAUCUCU